AUUGAACGCUGGCGGCAGGCCUAACACAUGCAAGUCGAACGAGUGGCGGACGGGUGAGUAAUGUCUGGGAAACUGCCUGAUGGAGGGGGAUAACUACUGGAAACGGUAGCUAAUACCGCAUACCAUCGGAUGUGCCCAGAUGGGAUUAGCUAGUAGGUGGGGUAACGGCUCACCUAGGCGACGUUCCCUAGCUGGUCUGAGAGGAUGACGGUCCACACGGGAACGGGGACACGGUCCAGCUCCCUACGGGAGGCAGCAGUGGGGAAUAUCGCAAAUGGGGGGAAAGCCUGAGGCACAAAUGCGGCGUGUAGGAAGCAGGCCUUCGGGUUGUAAAGUCCUUUCAGCGGGGAGGCGUUACCCGAAGAGGAAGCACCGGCUAACUACGUGCCAGCAGCCGCGGUAAUUC
rnacentral:rRNA from 1 species